UAUUCUCACUUUCAUCAUCUUGGUAGAAUACUUUGCUGUUAGUUCAUCAUUCUGAUGGUUGUGAAACAGGCAUGUCGAACUUGAUGUCCACAUUCUUGUAUUUGAUCUGCAUGUAAGUUUGGAUUUUUAGAGUUUUUUGCACUUGAUAAGGAAUCAUUGUAGUUGAGGAACUUUAUAUAUUAUAUGAUGAAACAGAAAAUGUGAAUGACUGAAAGGUGGUAAGUUGUUAAUGGCUUGAUUCGUGCCCAACUUUAUAUAUUAUAUGAUGAAACAGAAAAUGUGAAUGACUAAAAGGUGGUAAGUUUAUACACAAAACGCAUGGAUCAUGCUUUUGUAUACAUAACAUUCUUUACAUAAAUUGAGAUUUACAACACGCGCCCACUCGACACGAUUUACAGCAAUUUCAUCGAUGCGCUCCCUGUGGUUAAGUACUGCUCAGAGAACGGCAAGCGUCUCAUUCACUUUUCUACUUGUGAGGUGUAUGGGAAAACGAUUGGGAGCUUCCUUCCUAAAGAUAGCCAUCUUCGUCAGUCAUUCACAUUUUGUAGGUUCCUCUACACCAUAGGGAUGUUUCUGUUGGAGGAAGAGGGAUUUCUAUCAGAGUCCAAAUGAGUUUUAGAAAGACAAUGCUCAACGAUUGCAUAACAAUUUUAAAGAACUAUUGGAUAAAUGUGAAGAAGGACUACUCAUGAAAGAAAUGGUCUCAAAACUAAUGACAAACACAAUGUGAAGAAGAAGAAUAUUCCAUGAAAAAAAACUUUCAUGUGAUUUGAUUUGUAAUUUUUUUUAUUAUAUGAAUAAUGACCCAUUAUAUCAUAUUUAUUAUUAAUUUAUAUUUAUAUUUUU